rnacentral:rRNA from 1 species
UGGCUCAGGAUUAACGCUGGCGGCGUGCCUAACACAUGCAAGUCGAGCGAGAAGCAGUGAAGGGAGUCUCGGACAAACGGAACUGUGGACAGCGGCGGACGGGUGAGUAACGCGUGGGCAACCUGCCCCUUUCCGGAGGAUAGCCAAGGGAAACUUUGAAUAAUACUCCAUAAAGCAGAGAUGUCGCAUGGCAAUUCUGCCAAAGAUUUAUCGGAGAGGGAUGGGCCCGCGUCUGAUUAGCCAGUUGGUGAGGCAGCGGCUCACCAAAGCGACGAUCGGUAGCCGGCCUGAGAGGGUGAACGGCCACAUUGGAACUGAGACACGGUCCAGACUCCUACGGGAGGCAGCAGUGGGGAAUAUUGCACAAUGGGCGGAAAGGCCUGAUGCAGCAACGCCGCGUGAAGGAAGAAGGUUUUCGGAUCGUAAACUUCUGUCCCCUAGGGAAGAAAGAAAUGACGGUACCCAAGGAGGAAGCCCCGGCUAACUACGUGCCAGCCGCUGC